ACCAGCCAACUGACAACAUCCUCUUCUUCUUCUUUUAAUAUUGUGCUCUUACUGUAUCUCAAACACCUUCAUGAUUUAAAGACUUAAAUAAAGAAUCAAAGAGUACGUCACAUCGUUGGAUUCAUCUGCAUCUGGAAUAAACACGAGAAGAUGACUCACCAUCUUAAAUCAAGGUUACAGUAUGUCUAUAUUAAAAGUUUAACAGAGCAAUUUUAACUGUGCUGGGGUCUUUUGACUGAAUUAAUGAUAAAACUAUCCCCAUUACUUUAAAUAUAUUUACACAUCUGCUUCAUUCUUACUGUAUUGUUAGCCUCAUGUUUACUCAAAAAACAUUUCUGACAGACUGAUUAGUUGUUUUUAGUUCCUAUGUUAUUGAAUAAUUAAUCAGCCUCAAGUGUUUCUAAGAAAUGAUGAGGUCUUGAAGAUGUAUUUUUGUGAUAUUGACCAUUGAGAGACCCUCUACCUUGAGUCUGGUUCUGGUUGACCACGUCAUCUGCAGCUGGGCUCUGAUUGGUUUUCUGAGACUUUGAGGGUCUAAAAAUCCUGAGAACACAAAGGUUAAAGAUCCUGUCAAAACGUCAAACAGACAUGAGAAGAAACAUCUGCACUUUUAGGUUCUAGAGGGAGAAGCGUUUUACCGACCUGGUGACGAAUGUAUCUGAAAGAAAAAAGGCAUUUCUUGUUAAAUUGUUUAAUAUUUCUGAAUUGAUCAUUUUCUAUAAGUUUUGUAUGUCUUUGAAAAUGAUCAGGACUCACUCGUUGACUUUCUGUAGCAACACAGCAGCAGCAGGAGCAUCAGGGUUAAAAGGGGAAAAAACAGUCCAAGGACCAAUGGCAGAGGAAAGGAGGAACCUUCAGAGCUGGACACUGCCAAAAUAAAAGAACAAAAUGGUUA